CUAAUUCUAAGCUUGAAUAUGGGCCAAGUCCCAAGUAGAGUGGAUGUAAGGCCAAGUCCCAAGUAUAUGGGCCACGUCUCAAUCAUGCUAAUCUAAAGGGAAAAUUACCUACAAACCAACAUUUAAAGAUAUGUUUUCUAAAAACAAGGGAUUAAGUUUCAUUUUCCAUAAUCAGGUGUUAAUUAAAUUUAAUAAUUAAAACUAAUAAAAAUAUAAUUACAAAAUUAAAUAUACACAUUUAUCCAACCUGACCCAUACCCAACCACCCACGCUAAAAUCGUAAUACGUUUCAUCCAUUCCUAUUUUCUCUCCUCUCUAUCCCGCCUCUCCUCUCUCUAGCCAACGUCGGGAAGCACCGUCGCCACCACACUCAACAACCUCACCAUCUCUACCAUACAACUUCUCUCUCUAUCCCACCUCUCCUUUCUCCAGUCAGCACCAGGAAGCACAGUCGCCACCACACGGCCGGCACCACUUCGCCAACACCACACUCAACAAUUCACCAUCUAUACCACACAACAACCACCAAAAAUAUUCCUGUAGCAAUCACCUCCAAUGACUAUUUCGAAUUACGCAAGCACCGUCGCAACAGUGUGCAGUGCGAUGAAGCUCGUGGUUCCCCCACUAACUCAGGAAGAUUAGUGAAAGAAUUGAAAAGGCUAUAGCAUGAAUAAGGAGAAACAAUGGCGUUUGCCAAUCUUCUACUCCAUAGAUCUGCGUCCAGUCUCUCCUUGUUUUUUCCCCAUAAUAGUCUACAAAUUACCAGAAUCAGAUCUUUUGCCGCACCAAAAACAAAGAAGAGUUAUUACCAAAAGCAAAGAACUAUUUGGUGAAUUUAUAAAAAAUGGCAGCUAUUUUGAGAAAGUGGUUGGUUUUGAUUAUGAAAUUGACAGAUCUUCAAUUUUUUAUUUGUCGAUGUGGGUUUGGAUUUUUAGAACUUUUAUCGUAGUGAAGUACACAGAGAAACACGAUAUUUUACAUUGUGAUCUGUAUGUGUGUAUAUAUAUCUCAUCAACUGGGCUUCCCAACCCCCUCCCCACUUGGCAAAUAUUUGUUACAGAGGGAUAAGAGAAUAAUUUGGUAAAUUGUGAUCGUAAAUAAUUUAUGACAUAUAAAAACGUGUAAUUUGAGACUAAAUUUAUAAUUAUAACAUACAAAUUGUAUCUUCGUGAUUGUGACCUUGUCUAGUUUGUGACUAGUAUGUGAUUCAAUUGUUGGUUAUUACGGACAUAUAGAUGAUUUUUUUCACCUUUUUAAUACUACGAAUGAUGGAUGUUGCGUUAAUGUGGAUAACAUCUAUGUAUUAUGAUUGUUAUUUAAUUUAGGUUAAUUUUUUGUCCGAUAUAAUUUGUGAUAACAUAUUAUAGUUAGACAACAAGUCACAUCCAAUACAUUACUGGUCAUAAUAUCUCACAAUUAACACAGUUGGUCACAAAAGGUCAUAGUCAACAUAUUAAUGGUUACAAACAUUUAAAAAUGAGUUGCAAUGAAUAAUUGUGGCAUAAUUUGCAAUAAAAAAUAAUUUGUGAUCAAUAAAAGUUUUGAUUGAGCGAUGAAUAGUCCGUGACUUAUAAAAAUUUUGAUUUGUGAUCGAUACAUAUACUAUGACCCAUGAAAUUUUUGAUUUGUGACUGAGUUAAAGUCAAGGUUCACGAGUCACAGGUUUGAGUUCACAAAUCACAGUCAUUUCAUAUAAGUCACAAAUCACUGUGAACGGGGUCACAGAUCAAUAUUAACAGGUCACAUAUCGUUUUGUAAACGUCAUGGAUCAAAUUUAUAUGUCACAUUUUAUAUUACUCAUGAGUAACAAAUCACAGGUUGAAAAUCAUAUUUUAUAUGUCAUAAUGUACACAGGUCAUAGGUUAUUGCCCAGAAAAAAAUUGUGAAUUUAAUAUAUUUAAUUACAAAAAUAUUUUUUUGAUUAAUUAUUUUAUAACUAAAAUUUUAACCUUAUUUCGAUUUUUGAAAUUUCAAACUUUAUUUCUUAAUUUUGAAAUUGAUCGUAUGCAUAUUCAUCCCACCUAAUUAGGUCACAUAUUCAACAGAACUAAUCACAGAUAACGAUGUGCAUAGGUCACAGAUUUAAUACAACUGGUCACAAGUCAUUGCCAAAAAAGAAGAGAAAAAGAAAAAAGAUAGUCAGCGAAAAGGUGAGUGGUCAUCGGAAUAGUCGUCGGAACAGUCGGAGAGGUUGUCGGAGCCAUCGCUGGAAGCACUGGAGCUGUCGCUGGAGUCGUCGUCGGAGGUGAGGUGGGAUCGAGAGAGAAAAAGAAUGGUUUGAUGUGAUGAGUGGAUGGGUUGGAGUUGGGGUAGAAUAAGUAGAUUAAUUAACUAUAUUAUAAUUAAAUAUUUAAUAAAUUUAAUUAUCACCUUAUUUUUGAAAGAUUUUUAAAAGUUUGUUAGUUUUGAAAUCUGAUUUUUAAAUUAAGGAUUUAUGUGGUGUUCCCAAUCUAAAAUCUCUAAAAGAUGGGUUCGAGCCCGUCAGUUCCAAUGGAUCCAUAAAUACACUUAAUUUCUCCCUUUCUAUAUUGUGAUUCAUGUAAGGGUGACUCUUUAUAAUCGUUAAUGUCUGAAAACUCUAAAGAAAGAAUGGAUUUUACAACAUACAAAAAUUUAUUUAGUACAAAAAAAUAUGUGAUUCUUUAGACAUGGUAAAAAUUGAAAACCCUAAAAAAUAAAGGAUUAUAUACACUACAAACAUGUUUUCUUCAAAAAAUAACCAAGAACAUUUGGAACAUAGUACUGUAUCGCCUUCUUCUUCUUCGUGGUAGAUGUAAGAUCGACAACCUCAAUUACCCUCCUCCCAAUUUUGCAAUGCUAUGCGCACUUCUUGUUUGAUUUCAUAUUCAGUUGACCACGGAAUUCAAGGAAUCUUCAAUCAUGAUUUUUUUCAACAACAAUCAUUAUUACCUGUACGGUAGGAUGUUGCGGGAUGAUCAAUUUAAAUAGGCGAAAUAACCACAGGAGAUGUGUUCCCCACUGGCAAAUCCUCAAUAAUCACAUCAGAGUUGUGAUUUCUGGGCAUACACAUUUUGUGGCGAUAUUUUUCGUAUUUGUGAGAAAUGGUGUAUUGAUUUGCUGAUGAAUGGUGAACUCUAUGACGAACAGAGUUAAGAGUUUCCUUUCCUACUGUAAUUUUGGCAUUGUAUGAUCUAUGGAUAGUCCCAUCCAAAAUAAAGGAUCUUGGGUGAUAUUGAUAAUCUUAAUUUGCGUGAAAUAUGGGUAUGUUACAUAAAUUUGGUUAUAAUGCAUAAUUUGUGCUUAUUUGAAUAUGAUUAUUUUUACUCCACGUUAAAAGUAUUUAUGGAAUAAAAAAAAUAAAAGAAGUGUAGUAAAAGGAGAAUUUAGUUUUAAAUUGGGUUACAUGGUGAAAUUUCCACCUAGCUAUAUUCACCUCUUAUUCCAGUCCAACAUAGUGAAAAGAAGUCAAUCCAUUUAUUAAUGGAAAAAUUACAGCCACAAUAUCAAAUGUUUCACUUUUAUGCAAACUUGACCCAAAUCUUUAUUUUGUUGCAUCCACGGUACCAAACAUUGUAAACACUCGCAUUUGAAGUCCAAAUGGAUAAAAACUGUUAGUUUGAUCAUUGGUUGACCAGAUAAUUGACCUUGACAAUAAUUUUAAAAGGUUAAAAUAGUAUCCUUACCCUUUUUAUAAUAAAAUAACUAAAAUCAAAUAAUUAAAAUAAAAAACCAAAUACCAAAAAUCAAAAAUCUUCUUCUUGUCCGUCCACCCCAUUCAUACCCACCCCCACCACCACUACAAAACGGCUCCACCGUACGCACCCAACACCGAUGCUACCUUCGGUGCUACCAUCAUCUUCGCUACCUCAAAUCCACAACCACCACAACUCACACCCUUCUGUCCACAAAGAGACUUGAACAACCCACACCUUUCUGUCCACAACCUUUUCCUCAUCUUUUUUACAAAGUUCCUGAUUACAAAUUUCUGAUAGAGGAUGAGGCAAACAUAUUUCACUUCAACAAUUUUCAUAGUGAAGCUUGUGAAAAUACAAGAACCCAUCCGUUACCUAUAUAAAUGUUCUUGGAGGUUACCAAGAUACAUCCUUCUGGAAGUGAAUGCUAAGAAUCAGAGAAACUUACAUCGCACACAUUUCUCAUGCUAUAUAUAUCAACAAAGUAUAGUUCAAAUCAAUAAAGAUAGAGAACUUGUCGAUCCGUGCAAAGGGUGGUUCCUAUUGGAAAAAGAAAACCAUUAAUACUACACUGGCUUGAGAGAUCAAGAAGAUAACCAAGUGGUUAGGAAAAUUAGAGAUUCUAUGAGAAAUUACAUACCUAGAACUAGGUUGUGUAGGGAUGAAAUUAGAUUCUAUGAGACAUCAUACGCCUAUUAUUGGGUUGCCUAGAACAGUGUGAUGAAGGUGGAGGUGGCAUCGGCGUUGGGUAGGUGCGAUGGAGCCAUCUGGUAGUAGCCGGGGGGCGGGGGGGGUUGUUUGAGGAAAUAGUGGCCAUUGGCCGGUUGACCCGACUAUUUUUCCAAAGAGGCCUUUGACCAAUUUAAAAAAAAAAAAAGCAAAAAUGUUUAAAAUCUUGAAAACCGACAAAAACCAAGAGAACCCCAAAUUUACCCUUACCAUUUGAAGAAAAGAGAGAAGACAGUAAGGAAAGUGGAAAAUUACUGUAGCAUCGUCGACCCAGGUACCGACAAAAAAGGAAAAACAGGAGACCCAGUUGCCCAUUUCUCUCUGAAGAAGAUAAGGUUUUGAUACCAAGAAAAAGCAUGUUUUUAUUUUAAUUUUUGGAAAAAAGCAUGAUUUUAUAUAUAUGUGUUGAGAAAUCCUUGUGUAAAUGUGGAAUUUGGGUAAGAAUAUUAUUUAAGAGGGGAAAAUGGAGUGGAGGUCGUCGAAAAUGGAGUUUUCCGACGAUCUCCACGGUUUACCAUGCGCUCGGCCGGCUAGGCACGCCGUCUGGGCACGCCUGGGCCACCCGUUGUCUGGACCGUCCCCAGACCGCCCAGUCAUUUUUUUAAUUAUGUAUUAUUUAUUUUCUGUAAUUAUUGAAAUUAAUUAAAUAAUUUAAUUGCUUAUAUUGUGUUGUCUAAUAUUUAAUUAUUUAUUUAAAUUGUUUAAUUUUAAUGUAUAUUAUAUUUUUAAAAUUAUUUCUUUGAAAUGCUUAAUAUAAAUGUUUUAUUAUUUAUCUGAAUGUUUAUUAUUUGCUAAUUUAGUUUAAUUAAUUAUUUUAUAUUAAACAAUAGUAAAAUAAUUAAAAGAAAUAAUUACAUAUUAAAAAAGUAAUAUACAUAAAGAAUUUAAAUAAAUGUUUAAACAUUUGUAAAAUAAUAAAAAUAAGCAAUUAAAUUUGAAAAUUAAAAUAUCAAUCAAAUUAUUUUUUUGCAAAGCAAUUAAAAUAAAUUUGUAAAUAUGAAAUAAGCAUUAUGCGUAAAGAAUUAAAAUAAGUAUUUAAACAUUCAUUAAAAAUAAAAAAACUAAGUUAAGUGUUAGAAAAAUAAUUAAAAUAAGCAAUUAAAAUAUUAAAAUAAACGAUCAAAAUAAGUGUUAGUAAAAUAAUUAAAUAUUAAAUAAGUAAUAUAUAUAAAGAAUUUAAAUACAUAUUUAAACAUUUGUAAAAUAAUAAAAAUAAGCAAUUAAAUUUGAAAAUUAAAAUAUCAAUCAAAUUAAUGUAAGAAUUAUGCGUAAAGAAUUAAAAUAAGUAUUUAAACAUUCAUUAAAAAUAAAAAAUUAAAUUAAGUAUUAGAAAAAUAGUUAAAAUAAGCAAUUAAAAUAUUAAAAUAAACGAUCAAAAUAAGUGUUAGUAAAAUAAUUAAAAUAAAUAAUUAAAUGUUAAAUAAGUAAUAUACAUAAGGAAUUUAAAUAAAUAUUUAAACAGUUGAAGAAUAAUAAAAAUAAGCACUUAAAUUAGGAAAUUAAAAUGUCAAUCAAAUUAAUUUUUUGCAAAGCAAUUAAAAUAAAUUUGUAAAUAUGAAAUAAGCAUUGUACGUAAAGAAUUAAAAUAAGUAUUUAAACAUUAAUUAAAAAUAAAAAAUUAAAUUAAGUGUUAGAAAAAUAAUUAAAAUAAGCAAUUAAAAUAAACUAUCAAAAGAAUUGUUAGUAAAAUAAUUAAAAUAAAUAAUUAAAUGUUAAAUAAGCAGUAUGCAUAAAGAAUUUAAAUAAAUAUAUAAACAUUUGUAAAAUAAUAAAAAUAAUCAAAUAAAUUAGGAAAUGAAAAUGUCAAUCAAAUUAAUUUUUUGUGAAGCAAUUAAAAUAAAUUUUUAAAUAUGAAAUGAGCAAUAUGUGUAAAGAAUUAAAAUAAGUAUUUAAACAUUAAUUAAAAAUAAAUAAUUAAAUUAAGUGUUAGGAAAAUAAUUAAAAUAAACUAUCAAAAGAAGUGUUAGUAAAAUAAUUAAAAUAAAUAAUUAAAUGUUAAAUAAAUAAUAUGUAUAAAGAAUUUAAAUAAAUAUAUAAACAUUUGUAAAAUAAUAAAAAUAAGCAAUUAAAUUAGGAAACGAAAUGAAAAUGACAUAGCAGGCCUGCGUGGGAUGGACGAUUAUCGAGAUAGAGGAGCUGGCGGAGGGACAGGUCGCUAUCGGGACGGAGGAACUGGUGGUUAUAGGGACGGAAGGACUGGCGGCUAUCGGGACGAAGAGGGUGACGAACGGGUCGGUGGUUAUCAGAGGGAGGGGUCAGAUGGGGUAUGUUGACUCGUCGUUGCCAUCGAUUGCUGCAUUUGAUUCAUUUUUAAAUGACACGAUGGGGGUGGAGGAGUGAGAAGGGAUACCAGCGGUGGAGGGGGUACCUAAGGAGGCGGUGAUGCCUGUGUAGGGGAUACCCGAGGACGUCGAGAGGGUACCGGAGGAGGAGAGGGUACUGGAGGUGGAGGUGAUACCCGAGAUGACGUCACCCGAGGCAAGGGGGAUACCCGAGGAGGUGGGAAUGCCCGUGCAGGGGAUACCCGGGGAUGCCGAGAGGGUUACCGGAGGAGGAGAGGGUACCGGAGGUGGAGGUGGUACCCGAGAGGACACCAGACUUGCGCGAACGUAGUCUUUGUGUCGGAGAAGGUGGUCUCGAUAGCGAGCAAGGGGGUGGUCCCGAUGGUUGGGGAGAUGGAGGUUCCCGAGACAGAUGAGAAGAGGACGCGUGCUGUUGAUGUGCCGGAGCGGGUGGUCGGCAAGAGGCCGAGGGUGCCAUCACAGUACGUUGUUUCUCCCUUUACUGCAGAGGUGAAAAGGAGAAGGUUCGUCGAUGGGACGUAUCCGAAUUUAUUCAGGGAGGUGGACCACGCCAAGUGAAAAGCCUACGAGACGGAGUGGAGAGCAAUAAGGCUCGGAUAAGUUUUGUAUUUUAUAGAAUUAGUAUAGUACGCAGACGCUUACACAUGUAUACUUCUUGUAACUAAAAAUUCCGUUCUUAUUUUUUCAAGGCCAGCAGCGCAAUUGCUCAGAAGACGAUCUCAAACGCUUACAAGUGGUUCCACGACAUCACCACUUGGGGGGCUUGACUCAUCGACGAUGUAAGCGAAAUAAAAGUAUUAUUAUUUAUUAUGUAUGUUCAAAAUCAAAAUUUUGAAUCAAAUUCAUAGAUUAACUCCUUUCUUUAUUUAUGUUUCUUGAUGUAGCACAUUGACUUGGCCAUGGAUUUGCUAUGAGAUCUAGUUGAAAGACAUCAAAAAUCGUUCAACAUCCUGGCCGACUCAUAUUGAGCACCGAGUUCAUCCAUGCCGUUGACAUUGAGUACCAGUCGUUCAAAACUAUGGGUAACGAGUACACGAUACCGAUAUAUAUGAUGUAGUGGGUCGGAGGGAUGUGGCAGAGUGUCAGAGGAAAGCCAUGGGAGGGCUGUACGCAUAUGUAAAUGCCAGUGUGUGUGAAUUAUCACUACAUUGCAGUGGAAAUCGUAUUCGUCGACUUCACUAUGUAUGUGUACGACUCCGAUCAUUCAUGCCUGACACAAGGUCAACUCGAGCGAAAUCUGGAGUUGGUGUAUGUGAUCGUUCCCAUGAUGCUUAGACGAGCGAACAUCACAGUGCAGGAUAGAUUGGCCACUGUGCAGAACACAACGACGACAAGGCAACAAUUAUCGCAAGUGUUUGUAAUUUUAUUUUUGUCAUUUAUAUCUUAGGUUCUAACUAGUUUUCAAUGUGCUAAUACAAUAUUUUUUUAAUUGUAUGGGUGAUUGCAACAUGUUUGUCAUCAAGUACAUAGAAUUUUUUAGUCUAGCACAUAAAGUUGAUGCAAUCAAUUAGGUAUGGAUACAAAAUUGGAGAAAUAAAUUAGCAUGUGAUUUAUUUGAAUUUAAUGAGGAUCCGUAAAUAAUUGUACAUAUUUUUACAUUUAUUUAAAUAUUGUACAUUUCAUUCAUUCAUUUGUAAUUACGAAAGAAUUAUAAAAUGUUAAUUAUUUAUGUAAUAUUUAAAUAUUUAUUUUACAAUUUAUGUGUUUAUUUAUAAUACAUGUGUGUAUUGUGGAUAACAUAGUGUAUCUAAAAAAACUCCGAACACUACGAUUUCAAAUAAUUAACAUAAAUAAAAUGCAUAAAUAAUGUGUGUAACAAAUGAAACUAAAGAAUGAAAUGUUAAAAAAAAAAAAACUAAAUCUAAUAAUUAACAUAAAUAAUUAAUGUCAAUGUUAUCGAUUAAUUUAUUUGACGAUAUUGAAUAUUUUAGAUGUAUAUAAAUUUUGGAGGAUUAAAUUCAAAUAUAUCAAAAUUGGGUGAUUAAAUAAAAAUCUCAACCCCAUUUAAGUGACAAAAUAUUAUACUGUAGUUUAGCUUGUGUUUGGAUCCAUUAAAUUUUUUUUUCUCAUUUUUUCUCUUUUAUUUUCAAUCGCAGAAUUUUUCAUAAAAUAAUAUUAUACGUAAAUAAAAAAUUCAUUAAAUCAAUUGGAUAUUGAACAAUAAAAAAAAAGAUUUGACUAAUUACACGAUUUAAUUAUAUUGAAUAUAGUUAUUAUCAAAUAAGUCCUUUAUAUGUAAAAUAACCACUCAAACUAAAAUAAUGUUUGAUUUAUGAGCUCCAAUAAUUUUGAUUUUUAAUCUAUGCAUCAAGGGAACAUUUAUCCUAUCCCCAUAAAAUACAUUUCAAUUAUAGCAACACAAAAUUGAGGCCAACUAAUUUUUCAUCUUCAUAUUUUAACAUCUGAAAAUUUUUUAUAUAUAAAAGAAAUUCAAUCGUUUUUAGAAAAAAUUUUCUUAUUGUUACUUUUUUCUCUCUAUCAAUUAAUUUUUUAAAUAAUCUAAUAAAAUUUUUGACAUCAUUUAGAAAAUUUCCUAAUAAACUUUUAAUUUUUUUUUUAAUGUCAAAAGUGUGUUUAUAUGAAGAUUACAUUUCUAUUUACCAUUUUAAACAAUUAAUCAAAUUUGUAGAUUUAUUGAGAGAACUAAAUAGAUAUUUUGACACGUUAAUAACUUAAUAUUACCUAAAAAAUGACAUAGCACAUGCAUUGCACGGGCGAAAAACUAGUAUUUUGUAAAAGUUUUAAUCUUUUCCUGCGUUUGGACUCUUGCAAAAAGUCACGCAGUCACAAAAUUACAACUUUUGGAUAUUUUCUUACUAUAAAAUGUGGAUUUUUUGUUGAAAAUUUUCACUUUGUACUUGACUCAUCCAAAGAUUGUAUGCAACUUUAAUGUGAUCCUUUCCGUUGUCUUUUAAAAUUUUGUAUUUCCAUUCAAUGCAUUUGUUUUUGUCUUGAUCAUUAAGGUUAUCUUUUAGAAUUUUCUAAACGAACCAGAACCAAACAAGUAUUUCUGUUAACUGUAAAAUAAUUGUUUAAUAAAAAACAACGACAGCUCAUGGGUUUGUUUUAAUUGGCUGCAUUUCUUCUUCUUCUUCCUCUUCCUUCCUCUAUUUUUUUUUUUUUUUUNNNNNNNNNNNNNNNNNNNNNNNNNNNNNNNNUUCCUUCUCUUUUUUUUUUUUUUUUUUUUUUUUUUUCAAGAAGGAAAUUUCGAGGAUAGAAAAUGGGGGUAUUUGAAUUGGAAUUUGGUGUGGAUGUAAUAAAUGAAUUUAAUAAGAUUAAUAUUGGAAUAAACGUGGAUGAAUAUAGUAUUCUUCAUAAAAUUUAAAAUUUUAAUAGGGAUGAACUUAGAGUAUGAUAUAAAAAUUGUAGAUGAAAAUAGUGAUACCCAUGAAUAAUACUAUCAAAAAUGAUUUUAGAAUAAUUUGUUACAAACAAGUCUUACAUAUGGAUAUGAUGAUUACACAUGGAUGGAUCUGGAAACAGAAAAAGACGAGAAAUCUCUCUCUCUCUCUCUCUCUUUUUUUUUGGCAAUUGAUUUUCUCGGUUGCAAUUUUGCCUGCAAAGUGAUGCAAGCAUAAAUAUCUCUUUAUAUCAAGUUUUUGCAUUUGAUUUUCUCGGUUGCUAUUUUGCUUCACGCGUGACAUGCCACACUGCGAUUAGAAAAGAAUCUUCAUAUGCAAAUUUGGAUGUGCAUUCAUGUUGUGUUUUCUUACGACGUACAAAAUAUUAUAAUUUGGAAUUUCAUUACGAAAGGUCAAAUUUGUUAAGAAAAAUAAUCUACACAAAUAUGUUCGUUAUUAUUAUUAUUAUUUUUGAUGACGGGGGAACUCGCAGUCGCUACCCUUUUAGUACGCACUAGGUAAAUGUUCGUUAUUAUUUUUGUAAUUACUCAAUGUGGUGUUUAUCCCUUAUUAUGCUCUGGUAAAAUUGUGGCUCGUUUGAGAACUCCAGUCUUGAAAUUUAAAUGUUUUGCUUAAGCUUUGAAAUGAUCUAUUUAGUCACUUGUGUUUAAUGGGCACCAUAAAUAUUAUGAUUUGGGUUCAUUUUAAAAUGUUAACCUCUCCUAAAAAAUGUAGCUCGAAUAUAUGAUAUAUUUAUUUCAUCUUUUUUCGAUGUACCUUUACAUGAUUGUUAAAAUUAAUUAAUAUACUCAGAGCAAUAAUUAUGUCCUUUUCUUUUUAAAUACAUAAAAUAUAAAUAUGAAUUUAUAUCUUAUCAUGCUUGCUUGGCGAAAUUUUUCAGCGUAACUGUGUAAGCAAUAGGUUUCAAAGAAAGUGUAAAUAAAAAGUACAUAAAAAUUUUACAUUCAUAAAAAUAUAUAAUUGAAAAUAAUGUUUAUUGAACUUAUAAGCACCUUCAAAUAAGCACUAAACAGGGCCACUAAUUUGUUUGACUAUAGAUACACUUGCAUAUAUUAUGCAAUAAAAUAGUAUAAACGAGGAUAUGUUUAGUAGUUGGAUUCGACCCAAAUGUUGUAUCCUCGAAUAAAACUAUUAGAUUUUGAAUUACAUUUUGAUGAUGAUUCAUAAGCACGUGCUUAUAUAGAUGUAUUUGUUGACGUUUAGUUUUACGUAUUAGUUUUUGAAUUAACUGUGAAUCGUAAUUAAAAAUAUACAAAACAUAUGUUUGAUCAGAGGCGAAUCUAGCAGUGGGCUGGGUUUGGCUGUAGCUCCGCCCCUGCCUCCAACCCACAUGGUAAGAAGGAAGGUAUUUUAUAUUUAAAUUGGCCCAAAUAACUAUGUUUAACCCAGCUUCAUAUUGUGUCCCAAACCCAAGUCCAAUUAUCCAAAUAUUCUUUCAUGGUAUCAAUGAAAUGUGUACAAUUUUAUUACCAAAUUAGUUUUUUAUAAUAAAUAAAAUUGUAUUGAUUAGAGUUAAAAUAAAUUGCUUAUUUUAAUAGUAAAAAACACUAAAUGUUUGGCCAAGCUAAAACUUAUUUAUUCUCAUAAGAAAGAAACUUACUUAUUUUGACCACGAAAUUGAUGUUACUAUCAAAAUAACUUACUUCAUAUUUAAUCUUAUAAUAAAAAAAUUUAUAAGAACUUAUUUAUUUAUAAAUAAUAAGAUUGUAUGUGUAUUAUAGAAGCCGAGUCAAACAUGGAUAUAAUUCUUAACUAUAUAUAUUUUUAGUUAGUUUCUUUAUUGUUGGAUAUAUAUCAUUUGCCCACGUUUAUAAUACUUCCAUGAGAAUAUUUAUUUUAAGGUGAGCAUCGACUUCGUAUUUUGCAAGAAAAAAUAUGAAUAUCUAGUGAGACAUCGUAGAAUGAGAAUCUAGACUUGCAUUUCAUUGAGUGUCUAAUACUAUUUGUCAUGAAUGUAAUAAACGUAAUCUCUUAAACUCGAUCUCUUGUAGCGUGAAUUUAUUUAAAAUUUAACCCAUCCCUGAAACAUUUCCUGACUUCGCCCCUGUGUUCGAUCGUCUCAAUGGCAUCCUCCAUGGUUUGCUUGUGGGGAUUUCUAGUUGGUGGACAAUCAAAAAGGCCUACCUCUCAACCAGUUCACCAAAAAGUCUAUUUAUGGGAGCCAAGACAUUAUAAAAAUUUGCACUAGUUUGCAUCUUUGUUAUGAACUCGGCCAUAUCUUGGUACAUAAGCUCCGCUCCGUCAAUGAACGAACCGAUAUAUAUUAGCUUCAGUUGGUCAGGGAACGACACAUUACAUUAGCCUCCGUGUGAAAAAGAAUUUAUAAAUAUAUAGAAAUAAAUGAUAGAUAAGUAGUUAGUAAUUAUUGAUUCAUUGAAAUGCAUGAUUAAAAACGAAAUUUAACUAUUUAUAAAUUUUGCCAAAUCAGUAAAUCUUCAAAACAAACACAUCGAAAUUUGUCGCAAUCACAAUAGGAGAGAGAGAGAGAGAGAGAGAGAGAGAGAGAGAGAGGUGUGAACAAGUCUGAACGUGAUUAAUUUUUCAAACCGGCCGCCUGCGUGCUAAAUAUUCCAUAUAAAAUACAACAAGAAUAAGGAGUUAAGCUUGAUUACAAAUUAACUUUUAUUUAUGAUAGCACACUUUUUAGUUUUUAAAUAGGUGGUCCUAAUCCAAGAUUGAUAAUACUUCUAAGUUGAAUAAAAUUUAGUAAUUAUUGAUAAUUGUUUUUUUCUCAAUCAUUGAAACUCAUUGAUUGCCAAAAAAUUAUUAAUCAUGGAAUCGACACAAUCAUCAGAUUAUAAGUUCAUCCAUAGCUCAUUUCUGUUUUGGUAAGAGCAUAUCUACUAAUUCUUUGAUUUCAAUUAAUAAGAUGAAUCUUGAACUAAGAAAUGGACCAUAGAAGCUAAGAAGGUCAAUUUGCUUUUCCAAUGCAUGGCAUGCUGGACGGGCAUAUUCUACUUGAAGCAAGACAAUAGAUAAAGUCCUCGAAUGAAACUGACAACCUAGUAGCCUAGGUAGUUGUUUGAUCAAAGUAGAGUCUCCUGUAAAUCUUACACGAAUACUGAAUAUUAAUUUUGAUCUUACAUCCAUGGAUGAUUAUAUAUAAAUUAUAAACAAAUAAUUGAUUCUUUCACAUAUCUAUUUAAAUAGAAAAUUGGAGAAAUAUCGCACAAACAAAUAAAACAAUGCCAAAUGAAUGGUACUGCUAGCUCCCUGCCUAUAUAAGAGAAUUUUAACCUAAUUGCCAACUAAUUGAAAUUGCACCAAGUCCUUCCACUCCUAGAAAAUGUUAAAAGGCACCCACUAGAAAAUCGAAAAGACUAAAUGGAACAUACAAAUAAUAAAUAAUAAAAUAGAACCAACCAUAUUUCGUCUCGUCCUUUUAUAUCAUCAUAUUGCAUAUUUUUCAACUGAAAUUUUUUAUUGAAAAUAACAACUGGCAUGAUAAUUGUAGAUCACCUAAAAUUUCUAAUGUCUGAGUCAUAUGAUUUAAAAUUAUCAACCACCAUAUGCUUUGACUCCAAUUUGACAAAUUAUUGAAAUAAUAUUUUUUUCCAUAAAAAUCAAAAUGUAACAUCCUAUGUAUUUUUUGUGGUAGUAUAUACAACCGUUUAAGUAGUGUUUGGUAAUCUAUCAUGUCAAUGUUAAUAUAAUUUCAUCCAAUAAUGAUAUAUCUUUACAUGUAUUUUCUGUUUGUUCAAUGUCAAACUCACCAAACAAACAAUCCACAAUUAUUUUUGUGUCUUUCACCAUUGGAUAAAUUUGAUUUAACAUUCAUAAUUUCCUAAGUGGAACACUUCAUUUGACUUAGAAAACUCUAUCGAAUAUUCAACUCGUGUUGCAAAUUAUUUAAGUGAAUGCAUCUAGUGCAAAGAAACAAAUUAUUAAUAGUAUAAAAUGCUUUAUUCUUAUAACUAAAGAAAAUGGCGAAUUAUUAAUAGUAUAAAAUGCUUUAUUCUUAUAAACCACAAAAACAUUAUCAACAAAAAAGAAUAUUCAUUUUUAGUUGAAUUAGUGGACCUAGUCACCCGCAAUUGAUCAAUUUGCUUACGGCGCCGUAAUGCGUACCGUCACUCUCAUCUCGUUAGUCACGAGCAAGUAUGUGGUAAUAUGCUGUCGGCUGGCAUUUAUAAUUUUUUCAUUAAAAAGUAAAAUCAAAUAUCGAAACAUUAAACAACAUUUAAAAAAUUGUGCAUCUUUCCUAUGAACAAGGUUUAAUCUUUUAAACUUGUGUUGUGAUGUGCACGUGUUAUAAGUGUGCUACCAAAAUUGUUAUAAUUUUUUAUUUUUUACUUUUCGUAAUACACGACUUCUUUAGGUGGAGAGUUUGCUUGAGAUAGUUACACGUGGAUUUGCUGAGGGCGUUUGAUUUACUUUUGGAUUCUUCCAUUGGCUUAAACGUUACAUCUAAUUUAGUGGUGUUAUUGUAGAGUUAAUUGUUUCAAUGAUUACUAAAUUUAGAUUAAUAUUUUUGAUUGGUUACUGAAAUUUAAAAUAUCGAAUUUUGUUAGGUCCAUCUCUUUGAUUGCUCACUGAAACUUAAAAUGUCGAGUUUUGACCACUGAACUUUAAAAAAUGUUGUACAUCACUUACUGAACAUUGAAAAAUACUGCACAUUACUCACUGUAAACUCGAUAUUUUUUAAAGUUCAAUAGUUAUACUAGUAAGUAACGUACGGUAAAUUCCAAAAUUCAGUGACCAAAACUCGACAUUUUAAAUUUCAAUGAGCAAUCGAAGACAUGGACCUAAGUUUAGAGAGUAAUCGAAUAUAUAAACCUAGAUUUAUUGAUCAAAAUUAAAUAUUUUAAACUUCAGUGAUCAUUGGAACAAUUAACUCUAUUAUUAUUGUAGGUGUGACUUUUUAGAGACAAUAUGGCUACAUUUUCCGUGUUCUUCCUCUUCUUUAAUAUUAAAUGUUGUAGCUGUAAUCUGCGCCUCUUCUCUAACUUAUUGCCCUUUUUUAUAAAUCAAACCCAAACCCAAAAUCUACCUGAUUGUUCAUCCUCCAUUUCAUUGUUCGACUUGACAAAUCCUUCUACUGGUUCAUCCGUUAUGUCAUCAUCAUUAUUUUCAGUUUAUCUCGAUCACCCAAUUUCCUUGUCUGUUCAACUUAUUCGCAUUGUACAUUAUUAAUGUCAGCAUUAUAUGUAAGGGUUUACUCAAAUCAUAACCACUCCUCCUCCACAUUUUCAAUUAAAAAUUUACUAAUAUCAUGAUCCACUACACCACCUUCAAUAGAUGUAGCAUCCUUCAGUACUAUAUUCACCCUCUCUAUUAUGGACGUUACUCUUGAGAUCAAAGUCCUUUAAUGUCUUUUAAAGUCCUCUAAUGUCUUUUAACAUCUCCUUGAUAUCUAAUUCAUACCGUAAUCUAGAGGUCCACAAUCUCCACACAUACGAAAAUGCUUCAAACCAAUCCACGUUGAAGUAAGAAGGCUUCGUAUUGUCUUGCUUCCAGCGAUAGGGUGGAGAGUUCGAUUUCUGGUGGGAACCUACGGCCAAAUAUUUGGUAUGGAGCAAUCACUGUGGAGGAUGAUCUCUUGUGCGUAGAAAUGUACAGGCAAUGGGGGGAACCUGUAAUCCAGUUGAGGUAUAACCCGCGAUUUAUCCCCUUCAAGGUUCUAGGGGCAAGGGUCUUGAGGGUUCAGAAUUUAGUUUGGUGUAAGCUGGGAUUUCUAGGUAUUAAAAAAAGAAAAAGAAAAAAAAAAGGCUUCGCAUAGUCCAACAACAUCAUUGUACCGUGUUCAUAUUUCAAAUUAUUUGGCUUAUCGAAGAAACACCCCCAACGUGAAUUGUUACUUGUGCAAUAGUCCGCAUAUUUGAUUGUAGGUAGAUGAAAAAUAAAUUAUUAUUGGAACUAGAUCAAAAACUCACAGCAAUCAACAUACAUACACAUGACAAAAAAUCGAACAACAACUAGUAAAAAAUUGAUCAUAUUGACUCAUUUCGAGAGGCAAAACAUGGACCCUAUGUAAGGAAUUUUUAAAUCGAUCAUGUGCGCUUAUAGGUGUAAAUUAUUGUGUAUUAAAUUAAGUGGUAAUUACACAAUAACCUAUUUUCUAUUCUAAAAUCAUAUGGAUAGUUUAAUAUUUCAAAAAUCAGAAAAUUUUAUAUUUAAAUAUUAAAUUUUAAUUAUACAAAUUACAUUUCAAAACCCUAAUCAAUUUCUCCUCUCUCCUCUCUCCCUCCUCCUCUCUUCACAGCCUCUCUACCCGAUCUCUGGCGCUGCACCGUCUUCUCUCUUCGGUGACUCUGGACCCGACCAAACGACACCUAGUAGUGGCAGCAGCACCGCUGUACACGGUGGCUGACGGUGACGAUCAUGUGUAGAACCAUCGGAGUCCAUAUUUUUUCAUUCAACUUCUCUGGUGGCGUCAUCCCCCAGGUGCUGCCGACUCUCCACGACGGUAGUGCGCCUAUCGCCUGCACUGCAGUCACGAUUUUUUGGUGGUGGUGGUGUGGUGGCUGCGUGACAUUGGGAUUGGGGAUUUUUUUUAGCUGCCGUGGUCGAGAUUUGUUGUGGACUGUCGCCAAAAUUUGCAGCUCCGCGAGGUUUUGGGUUUGCUUUUAGUUGGUGGAUGGGGCUGUAAUGGUGGUGGUGGUGGUGAUUUUUGAAUGGCGACAGCUUUGUUGUAUCCAACGUGGUGGAGGUAAAUAUGGUGGUGGUUGUGUUUUUGUUGGUGGUGGUGGUGGAUAUUGUGGGUGAUGAGAUGGUGGCGAUAGUUAUGGUGAUAUGUUGGCGGCGACGAGUCUACUGAGGUGGUGGUGGUGGAUAUGGUGCGAUGAUGUGUUAAUUUAAGGUGGUGAUGUUGCCGUCGAGAGGUGGCGGCGGCGGUAGUUAUGGCGACAACUGUGGCAGUGGCGCUACUGUAAGAAGUGGCUACAUGGUGGUCACAAGUGUUGUGGGGGUGUUUGCGACUCUUGAUUGUGACUCUCAAUUGGAUAUGUAACAUGAAAAUUGUGAUUGUGACUCACAAUUGAUUAAGUUGUGACCGAAAAAUUAAUCCUGAUCAAUUAAUUCAAUAAUUUGCAAUGAGUAAAUGAAUUGUAACCAAUAAAGUUUUGAAUAUGUGAUCGAUGAAUAAUUUGUGACCUGCAAGAUUUUUGGAUUCGUGAUCGAAAAAUUUUCUGCGACCUAUAAAAUUUUCGAUCUGUGACCAAGAAAUAAGUUACGACCAAUAAUUUGAUAAGUCGUGACUAAAAAUUAAUCUGAUAUGUGACCGAUGAAUAAUCCGUGACUUGUAAAAUUUUUGAAUUCGUGAUCGAAAAAUAUUCUGUGACCUAUAAGAUUUUUGAUCUGUGAUCGAGAAAUACGUUACGACCAAUAAUUUGAUAAGAUGUAACUAAAAAUUAAUCCGUGACUAAUUAAUUAGAUAACUGUGAUCUAAAUAUAUUAAAUUUAUAAAAUAAUUUUAAUAAAAAUCUGAUUUUUGAAUUUUGAAACUUGUUUUCUUAAUUUUGAAAUCUACAUACUUAAUCUCUCACUUACGAAAUUUUUCCUUAAAUUAAAGGCUAUCAGCCUAGUUAAAAUGGAUCCAAUAAGAUUUCAGUAUUUUGGGCUUUAGUUUAUCCAAUUAAAGUAUGGGUCUUAUGUGUAGAGAUCAUGCCCAAAUUCCUAAUUCUAUUGAGGAGAAGCAUCUUCAAUGGGUAGAGAUCGGGCCUAAGUUCCCAAUUCAACAAGGAUUGAAAAUGCAUUUCUUUAACAUAUUGUGGAGAAGCAUCUUCAAAAUCUCUUAGUUUAGGAGCAAACAUCGUUGAUAAACGCAGUAGCAAACUAUGCACAUAACAUAAAUCAAUUAAUUUGAGAAACCCAUUUAAAAAAAAAAAAAAUUCAAUGUAAAAAUCGAAAUACCAAUACUGAAAAUUUAACUUGCUUUUGUAAAAGGAUUUAUAAAAAGCCGUGGUGAGAGACCUUCGGCGAACGGGUUCGCUCUAAUUGUGCGUGAUGCCGUACAAAAUUGAGGUUGAUCGUGGGUUUGGAUUGGAGGUGACUGUUGGAUUCUUACGUGUAACCUUUCUCCAGACAGAUAAAUUUUUAAUAAGUGGAGUUUUGUCCUUUGAAAAAUAUUUAUUUUGGCCAUCUUUAAGUGGAUUAAAUUUGGACGGCAGGAGGGUCUUUCGCACUUAAGAGGUCAUAUAGGGAGAUUUUCUGUCAAUCUUAAAGGAUAUGGGGUAUUCCGCAAUAAAGACAAAGGUGAGGGAGAUUUUACGUCAAUUAUCUACUGUAUGAUAUUAUAUAAGAGGUUACUUCACUCUUUUUCUCUUCAAAUAUAACACAUAUUUCACGUUCUCGUCACGUCAAUUUCAAUGAGCAACAGGCAUCUAUAACUCCCAGCCAACUGCUCACAAAAAUACCACUCCACCCGUCACCGGAUUCUACUAUAAAGAAUCCACCGUACCGGGUAAUAGCUAAGAAACUUCUUGAAAACUCCUUAACAUGAAUUGCCCUAGAGACUGGCCUGAACCAAUAAUCCGAGUCCAAUCCUUAUCAGACAGUGGCAUAAAAGCCAUACCUGACAGAUAUGUCAAACCUCCAUCGGCCCGGCCAGCGUUUGACUCGACCACCAGUAUUGAUGCCAAUAUCCCUAUAAUUGAUCUUGGAGGCUUGAAUAGUGGUGACAACCUCGAAUCCACAACGUUAAACAAAAUAUACGAGGCAUGUUCCGAGUGGGGAUUUUUCCAGGUUGUGAACCAUGGAGUGAGUCCCGAGCUUAUGGAUCAAGCUAGGGAAAUUUGGCGUGAAUUCUUUCAUCAACCUAUGGAAGUGAAACAAGCUUAUGGAAACUCACCAAACACUUAUGAAGGCUAUGGAAGUCGACUAGGGGUCGAAAAAGGUGCCAUUCUUGACUGGAGUGAUUAUUACUUUCUUCACUAUCUUCCUUGCUCAUUGAGGGAUUGUAACAAGUGGCCUGCUCUUCCCACACCCCUCAGGUACUCGAUAGAAUUAGACAGUACAUCUUUUGUUGCCUGCUUUAGGUCGUUUUAAGUUCGUUAAUCUCCUAAACUUAUCAAAUUAUAAUAAUGGAUUAUUAUAAUAAUGGAUUAUUAUAAUAAUGGAUUAUUAUAAUAAUAGACUACACUAUGGGGCCCACGAAUACUUUAUUGUACGUGGACCCUCCUCCAUAUGAGGGGUGUAAUGUUUUGUGUACACAUAGCAUAGUCUAUAAUAAUAAUAAUAUUUUAUUGCCUCACUUUGUUUUUUGCAGAAUAACCCUUGUGACUCUUUACAAAUGUUUGACAAUAGAGCACAAUUUAGGGUACUUUCAUUACUGUUUACUUAUACAUGCGUGUACAAGGUGCGAAGUGGUACGAUGUAUUAAAUUGUAAUAAUUAAGUCUGCUCGGUGUGGAUGUAGAUUAACAUGAUCUAGAAUAUAAUGUUUGUUUAAUGACUGGUAUAAUUAAUAUUAGUUAAGUUCAUCAUAUUUGAUAAAUGUAGGGAAGUGAUUGACCAUUAUUCGAAGCAAGUGGUGAAGCUAGGUGGGGUUUUAUUAAAAGCUUUAUCCAUUAAUCUCGGCUUGAAAGAAAAUUUUCUUCAAAAUGCAUUUGGGGGAGACGAUAUUGGAGCUUGUUUGAGAGUCAAUUUCUAUCCCAAAUGUCCACAACCGGAUCUCACUCUUGGCCUGUCCCCACAUUCGGAUCCGGGUGGAAUGACGUUUCUCCUACCGGAUCACAACGUACCGGGGCUCCAGGUUAGUAAAAAUGGCGGGUGGAUUACAGUUAAACCGGCCCCACAUGCUUUUAUUGUCAAUAUCGGCGAUCAGAUUCAGGUGCUUACUCUUAUCUUUUGUGCACGUUUUUUUCAUUCAUUAUUAUUGAAGACAAUAUUGAAAUAAUUUUUAUACGAUCACUAUGAUAUCACAGUAGGCAAACAUACUCAUUUAAUAGAAUUGUACACGUGCGAGUCUUUAAUAGAAAAAAAUGGACACUAUUACUGUUAGAGUCCUUACAUUUGAAUGAUCUAUUAUUUAGUGUCAUUUAAUUGCCACAUAAACGUGUACUUAAUACGAGUAAUUCCAAAUAGCAUUACUCUUUAAUAUUAUGCUGUUAGAAGGAAAAGUUGGGUUUGAAUUCAUAAAAGUUAAAACCAAGGGCACACGGUGGGCGAUGUGUUUGAAAAUACUCAAUCAAAUGAAAAACGUGCGUUUAUUGAGCCUUCCAAGUUGUCAACUUGUCUAUAGAUAUAUGAAUCAAUAUGGCACCAUUAAAGAAAUGGAAAAGAACUCAAAGUGGAAGAGUAAUGGCGUGACAUUUAAUAAUCUAUCCAUAAUUUAAUGACAAUUUCAUUUCACACCAUACAAUUUAAGAAAUUCUCUAGUAAAUUUCGUCAUGUUGGAAUAGGCUUUAAUACUUAGAAAUUGCAUAAGGUACUUCCUAAUUUAUGUAUAAUUACUAAUGAAUUUUGUUUGGUUUACAAAAACAGGUCCUCAGUAAUGCUAUUUAUAAGAGUGUUGAACAUCGGGUAAUUGUCAAUUCAAAUCAGGAACGUCUCUCGCUUGCGUAUUUCUACAAUCCCAAAAGUGAUUUAUUGAUACAACCAGCUAAGGAACUUGUAACAUCAAAUCGACCUGCACUGUACUCCGCCAUGACUUUUGACGACACUCCCCUAAACUGAAACUAAAUGUUGUCCCCAAUGCAAAAUUAAAGAAAAGGGAGGAGAGCUUCCCUGAAUUGUCUCAUUGCCCAUGACGUUUUGGUGCUUGUGAUGCUAGAUUUGAUAAACGCUUCUUCUAUCUUUUCCCCGUAACUUGACAUUUAUCCCAUUUUCUCCUUGUCAAUGUUGGUUUGAGUGUUCUGCAACGUCGAGUUCCUGAAAAAUCAAAUUUUAGAUAUUACAUACAUGAAACAAGGGUUACUUAGCUCAAAUAUCUAAUAACCAAUUUAAUUACUUAAGGAUCUAUGGGGAGGCGGGAUAUGGAUAAUGAUUUCUAAAUAAACUGUAUAAUUAAACUAAACUAUUCUAUAACUGGAAAACGAAAUAAAUAAAAGAGAAUAAAGCUUGGGUUGCCUUUCAAGAAGUACUUCUUUAACAUCAUUAGCUUGACUUAAUCGAAUUGCCUACGUUGGAUCUUCAGGUGGCACUUCUCUCAUGUUUCCAAACUUUACCCUUGGUCUUGUAUUUGUCUUGAAUAUAGCAUGACCAAUGGGAUAAUGAGGCAGUUUCAACUCCAAUAAAUCUUUCAAACCCUCAUUCAAUUUGGCAAUGUUUGGAGGUUUUGAAAGCUCUUCCAUAUAGUUCUCAAUUUUUUCUGGCGAGUAAGCUUUGUAAGCCAAUAGGAAGUCAAUCAUCCUCUUAGUUCCUGAGUAUUUACCAGUAGUCGAUAUAUUCUUCGAUGAAUAACUGGUUGACAUGUGUUGUACUAGAGGAUCAUAGAAUAUCUCCUUCUUGCUUUUCUCACACUGCAUCAAUUGAUUAGAUUAUGUGGUAUGUGUUAACUUUUUUCAAGGCUUUCUUGGCUUGAUAGAUGUUGAAAUUUACUUGCUUUUCAUUAACCCAAAGUGUCAACUUUCAUUCUUGUACAUCAAUCAAUGCUCUUACAAUAGCCAGAAAAGUUAGACCAAGAAUCAAUGGUUACUUUUCAUCCUCUUCCAUGUCUAAGACCACAAAGUCCAUAAAAAAGAUGAACUUAUCAACCGUUACAUCUCUAAUAAUUCCCAUGGGUAAGUAAUGGAUCUAUCUGCCAUUUGCUGCGAGAUGGUGGUCGGCUUCACCUUUCCAAGACCCAACUUUUUAAAUAAGGAAAGAGGCAUUGAUUGAUGCUAGCCCCCAAAUCACACAAGACGUUGUUGAUGGUAGACUCCCAAAUCAUGCAUAGAAUUAUAAAGCUUCUCAGAUCUUUCAAUUUCUGUGGGAGUUUCUAUUGGAGGAUUGCACUACAUUCCUCUGUCAACCUUACUGUCUCAAAUUCUUCCAACUUUCUCUUCUUUGACAUCACUUUCUUUAGGAACUUGGCAUAGUUAAGCAUUUGGGCCAAAGCAUCUUCAAGCAAUAUAUUGAUGUGAAUUUUCUUGAAGACUCCAAGAACUUUGCAAAUUGCUUGUCCAAUUUCUUCUUCAUAAAUCUCUACGAGAAUGAUAGUUUUAUCUUCGAGAUGGGUGGAUUAUCUGGGAAUGAGGUUGAGUAAGGCUUAUGAGCAUCUUUUGUUGCCUCUAUCUCAGUCCUCUACUCUUCAACUGGCUUUUCCUCCAUAAGUAUGGGAUCCAGUGUAGGCACCACAGCCUUUCUCUACUUGCUCUCUUCAACGUCGCUACUACUUCUCAGGAUAAUAGCAUAACAGUGCUCCCUUAGGUUAACCUCUGUGUCACUGGAGAAUUUUCCUUUCUGUUGGGACUAAAUUGCAGUUGCUAUCUAACCAAUCUAUACCUUUAAGUUUUUCACUGUAGCCCUAUGUUGGUAAUAUUAGCCUCGAUGUUGUCAAGUCUUGCCUCAUCUUUCUUGAACCUCGAUCUGGUCUUGUGAUGGAUUCAUUUUGAGUUGAUCCUUUUUUUCAUUUUCCUGGUUCAAAUGAAUGGGUAAUGCGAGAUGGACGGGACGAAAACUUUGCUAUCCUCACCAUUGAUACACUAAUAACUAAGAUCACAAAUUAAACCAUUAUUACUAAUUAAUAAGUAUAUGAAUUAAAUCACUGGCAACUAAUGCGUCAAUUUAGUUUAAUGAGACCUCCAACACACAAUUAAAAUAUAAAUUUCUUAAAGCACGAUCAAAAUUCCAUUAACUCCAAUUGCUGCAAGUGAAACAAAACAGGGAAUACAAGCCCCACGGGGCAUAUCCCAGUGGUGUAAAAGACAGAAGUUAGGUAGUCUCAACCUUGCUAGCAGCCGCAGUUUAAGGGUUCGAUUCUUGAGAUAUGGAAUUGGACUCUUUGUGAGUAUCAGUGUACGAGCAAGCUCUUAUUCCCUAACCUGUUGGAGCACAUCCCACGAUUUACUUCCCUUACGAUGCUCUAGGGACGGGACUGUGGGAGCCCUUAAAAUUGAGGUUUAACCUUUAACAAAACAAGGAAUACAAUCAUUUCUCCUUUUUUUUUUUUUUUCAAAUAUGCAGGCCCCAUGUGUAUUUAAAAAAUUCUAAGCCCUGAUCCCCACUUCUUAUUGUGAGUAGUAGGUAAAAAAUUGGAUAAAAAUUUUAGGUACAUAUAACAUGAUCCAAUUUAUUAAUAACAAUACAUAUUUUAACAAAUUGAGUUGAUCGGAACGGACCACAUAGGUCAUAGACCGAAAAAUCCAACAUGGUACUGCUUGCAAUAAUUACCGUACGAACCAAAGAAGAGACUAGAAGCAAGUUGGGUGUGUUUCAUAUUGUAAUUUUAAUGGAUCGAAUCGUCUAGAUCAUGAGCACUUGUUAAAUGACAUGGGACAAUUGUUAGAUAACAACAUUGUUGGUGGGGGACCAGUUUAACGUGUGGUAGGCACUGUGUUCGGCAAAAUAAAUUAGCUGUCAAAUUUAUUUUGUUAGCUCGCAGUCAGAGCCCAGGAGCUCCAACCAUUAUGGAGAAGUUUUCUAAAGUAUGAUAACGAGUUAAAAUAAAAUUAGUGGUAAAAUCCAUUUCCUCGUAGUCCUUUGAAUAGUAAAGAUUGAUAAAUUUUGUUAACUAUAUGUAGCAAAAACGCUGAUGGUUGAAUUUUCAUACUAGUGAAAAUUAAAACAACGAGAGAAUUUCAAAGAUGCUCUAUCUAAUUCGGAAAAUUUCACACAAAUAAGUAAAAACGAAUACGUCACUGUAGAAUACAACCUUCAAUUCGACUUUUCUAAACCAAACAUUAGUUACGAUAAUUCACUGCGUCAAACAUUUGGAAGAACGUAUUUUCACUUGAGCAUUGAUAAAUUUAUUUUGGAAAAAUAAUUCGAGAGCUUUGUAUUAAAAGUAUUUUGCUUGUAGUUGUAACUACAAGCAAGUCAUUUUCGUUUCAAUUAGGAUUUUGCUUCACUUGACAAUGAACGUUCAUAUUUUAUAUGUUUUUAUGUGGUUGUAUAACAUGUUGCAUGUGAAAUCUUAUCACAUUGUUCUUCUCAAUAUUUUAUGUGGUCACAUACGAAAUUUAUAGGCAGUUUCGUCACUGUCCAAUUUUUAUUUUCACAACAUGAUGACUAUUUAAAUCCAAAUUAUAGAUGGUGAAAAAUAUUUGAGCUGCAAGUUAAAACUUUAAUUAAAUAUAAUAUAUGAAAAAAAGAAGAAGAAGAAGCAUUUGAUUAAAAAAUUUACAAAAUAUACCUUAUAUAGCAUAAUUACGCUUUACAUACUUUUGAAAAUUACAUCGCAUAGUACUUUCUUAUAAAGAGUAACAAAUAGGAUAAUUAUAUCUUUUUGUAAGUUGCAUGAUUUUUUAAUUGCAUUAAAAGUCUCUAGUAUUUGCUCAUUAUCGCACUUCUGUCCUUAAAUUUUUUUUUUUAUCGCAUUCUUAUGCACAACUUUUCAUCAGUUAACUACUUGUCCUUGAUCACAAUUUCCAUAGAAAUGUCCAUUCAACGGACAUAAAAAUUAUUUGCCUAUCAAAUAAUCAAACAUGAACAACAAAAGUAUUUAUUCCUCAUUUCAAAAUACACUAACAAAAACAUUUAGACAUAAAUCAUCAUCAGGGACCAAAUAUGCAAUUUAAUGGAAGACUGAUGACGAGAACUCGAUAAAAAAAGGAAGUGACAUAACUAUGACAAUAAGCAAAGAUUGAAACUUUUAAUGCAAUUAAAAAGUAAUUCAACUAAAUUAAAUUGUUACGUUAAUAUAGCUAAAAAACCAAAUAACACACCUUAAAUCUCUGUUAACGAAAUAAUAUAAAUUUACAAAAAUACCAUUAAUCUAAACUAUCUAUAAUUUUAGACGUACAAAUAUUACGUUCAUAUAAUAUUUUGUAACACUUCUCAAUGCAUAAAUUGCAAAACGAUAAAAUGGGCUUCAAUGUAGAGCUGGGGAAUGUUACAAAAUCUUUACAGUUAGAAGAUUGAAUUUCAAGAAAUAUAUGUGUAAACAGAGAAUAAGGUGAAAAAUAAAAAUUGCAGAAUACUAUUUUCAUUCACUCUGACUAAAAAUGUUUGUAAAUCGUAAUUAUUGAUUUAUUUCAUGCUUCGAGAGCAAGUGAUCCAAAAUCUAGCUUCGAGAACUACCACGUUAUCCAAAGGGACAUGUCCGAGGAUGAUUCAUUACCUCGGUUUAUAUCGAUGUUCGUAGACAUCGAUUUAGAAUAAAAAGCUUCUUAUGUUAUUUUAAAAAAUAAUAUAUAUUGUAAAUUCACCUCAAUAUCUAUUUUCUAAAUUCUUCGAUACAUCCUUCCAUGGAAAAAUACCAAAUAAUGUUAUUAUUAGCACUACUUGCUCAUCGUAUAAAGGGUUAAUUUCACAAACGGUCACUGAACUUACAGAAAAAUUACAAAACGGUUAUUAAAGUUUAAAACUUUCAGUAACGGUUACUUAAGUAUUGAGACGCUUUCAAAAAUGGUCACUGAAGUUCAAAAAUUUUUGAGCUACUUUUGCGGCAAUUUUUCGACCAUUUCCGACCAUCGAUACCACCGGAUUUUGAUGCCGUUGGAAAGUCUACAAUGUCCUCUUCAAUUACAACAAAAAAUUUCCCCCAAACUCCAAACGAUUCGGCAAGAAUAAACCCACAAAUUUGGCUACCCAAAAGGCAGAAAUCUACCCAAAUUUUCAGAUUUUUGGUGGACUUUUCGGCGAUUUUUUGACAACUUCCAACCACCAAAAUAGCCAAAUUUUGAUACCAUUGGAAAGCCCACAAUAUUCUCUUUAAUUAGCAUCCAAAAUCUCCCCAAAAGUCCAAAGGAUUCGGCCGGAAUAAAUUCACAAAAUUGGCAUUCCAAAUUUUAGCCUUUUUGGGAUGCCGACUUUACUGGUUUAUUCCGGCCGAAUUCUUUGGAGUUUGAAGGAGAUUUUGGAUGGUAAUUGAAGAGAACAUUGUGAGCUUUCUAACGGUAUCAAAAUCCCACGGUCUGGGUGGUCGAAAGUCACUGAAAAUUGUCGUAAAAGUCGCCCAGAAAUCUGAAAAUCUAGGUAGAUUUUCAAAUUUUUUGGGGCGACCUUUGCGGUGAAUUUCCGGUCAAAUUCCUUGGUGUUACGGAGAGAUUUUGAGUGGUAAUUGAAGAGAACGUUUGGGCUUUCCAACUGUAUCAAAAUUCGAUGGUAUCGGUGGUUGAAAGUAAUCGAAAAAUUGCCGCAAAUGUAACCAAAAAAAUUAAAAAGGUGUUUUUCAACUUCAGUGACCGUUUUUUAAAACGUCACAACACUUAAGUGACCCUUACUUAAAGUUAUAAAUUUAAGUGACCAUUUUGUAAUUUUUCUGUAAGUUCAGUGACCGUUUGUGAAAUUAACACUCAUAUAAAUGUCACGUCACUAUUAUGAGUAAUCGGUGCUCCACGAACAGCAUUGCUCGUUUUAUUUGGGAGAGAACGACAACUAAUCCUCAGCCUCAACCUCAACCUCAACCUCAACCUCAACCCAGCUUGAUUUUUUUAAUAAAGUUUAAAUGAGCACGUGGAAUAUGAACCAAACGAUUUUUUAAAAUUUUAGUUGCUAAAUGUGCACGUGGCUAUGGUGGGUUGGCAGAAAAUUAUUGCUUACCUUCCACUUAUUCUUUUGCCGACCUUUCUUUGCUUUGGCGAAAAUGAAGGCUUUAUUUCAUAGGAAUAAUGAGCUUUUCCCGAAAUUAAGAGUGAAUUAUUCAAAUGGUCAUUGAACUUUACAAAAAGUUUUCACAGGGUCAUUGAACUUUAAAAACAUCCAAUUCAUUACUAGACUUUGUAAAAAAAAUUCACGGGAUCACAAAAUUUUAAAAAUCACCUCAUUCAUCACUGAAUUUUACAAGAGGCUUUUACGGAGUCACUAAAGUUUAAAAAUCACUUCACUCACUGUUGAACUUUGCCAAGAAUUUCCACGGGGUCAUUGAAUUUUGAUAUAUUGUCAUAGAAAUUCAUUAUUUUGAGAAAACGAGCUCUAUAUAGAAAAUGGGCUAGUGUUUUUUUGGGUCAAAUCGCCAUCUCUAAUUAAAGUAAUAUUGAAGGAAUAUUAAUUGAGUACUAACAAUUACACAUCCCAUUUAAAAUUCUUGUUAUAUGUUCCUCCGAUCAAAAGAAAAGGAAGGAAACUACAUGGAUUGACCCGUAGUGUCCACUCUAUAGGAGGUCACUUCAAGGGUACCUUUCAGUUUGUUUUGUUUGUGUAGAUGGAUACUGUAUAUUUUGGAUGUAAAAUGUAACCAUCUAUUAAUUUGUCUUCCUCGUUAGGUCCAAUAUUAAUUCCGCGCUCUUUAAGCCCACAAUAAUUUUUUUAUUUUUACAUGGAACACCCAAUUUGAGUGUUAGAAUUAGGGUGUGCCCGAAUUCUAUUUGGAAUGUUAUUUGAAAUCAUAUUCAAAGUAUAUUCAACAAAUUCUAGUUGAAAUUUUAUUUGAAAGUCCAAUUAGAAGUUAGAAUUUAUGUUGGACUCCAAGAUAUCAAAUUAUGGACCAAGAGAAAAAAUCGUCGCAAUUUCGUUAGCUGGUCACUAGCUUGGCGUUCAGGCGAUGUCACCAAAAUUUCAAAAGAGACUUGGCGUCUGCCUAGCGUUCGAGUGACAUAGUCAUGGCUCAGGACCGUUUCGCAUUUUGAGCAUUCUUUUCCUUCUAUAAGUCUACUAUUAGAGUUUGGACUCUCAUAUUUGUUCCCUAUAUAUAGUUGGCUCUUUAUUAUGAUUUAGAUGAAGUUAAACAUUAUAAACACAAAAUCUUUGUAUUCUUUUUCAGUAUGAUAAUAAAAACUCUAUUCUCUAUAAAUUACAUUGUUCUCGUAAUUUUUUUUUUAAUCUUUAUUUCGUAUUAUGCCUAUAAUCUUGUAUUUCCUCUAGCAAAUUGGUAUUGGAUUAAUUCGUUCCAUAUUUUUCAUAGCAAACUGGUAUUAGAACUUUUAUUUUUGCAAUUCUUGGGAAGAUAGAUGUUUUGAUCAAGUUAAGAGUUGAACUUAACAUUUCGUGAUGGUAACUAUGAAGUAUGGUAUUCCACUUACAAGAUUUUCCUUGUGACGGGUAAAAAUAUGAGCAGUACUCGCUCGGAUGGAUUUAGGUCAUGUGUUGUUGGGAUUUGAUAAGAUGUGCACAACUUGGAUUCCAGAAGAGAAACAAUGAAGGGAUUGAAGGGCCUAUCUGAAAUACAUCUAUGUCUUUCAAAUAAAAUUUUUAGGAUGUUGGGGAAAAAAGUCCGUCGCUUCAUUAUGGUUAAAAUUAGAACAAUUAUGCAUGACGAAAAGUCUAAUUAGCAAAUUGCAUGUGAAAAAAAGUCUAUAAUCUCAUCAUAUGACAAAAGGUGCAUCUUUUAAGGAUCGCCUAGCUACUUUUGAGAAAAUUAUUACUGAUUUAGACACCUUAAAGGUCAAAUAUGAUGAAGAAGAUUUGAGAUUGAUUUUAUUAUGUUCAAAUGUCUUUUAAAGACACGAUUUUAUAUAAUAAUGAUACUCUCACCAUCGAAAAAGUUUAUGAUUCUCUAUACCUAAAGGGGAAGAUGAAAUAUCUUGUUGCAUCUGAGGUUCAUGGAGAUGACUUAUUAUUGAUGGUGGUCAUGUAAGGAAAAAGUCAAAUCUAACAUAAAAUUUAGUAAUUAUUACAAGAAAAGAGGCACUUGAUAAAAGAUUGUUAUAAAUUGCAAAAUAAAGCAAAAUUGACUGCAAAUUAAUAAUCAGAAACUUCAAAGAAAGAAAGUAUUACAGAAAGUCCAAACAGUGAUGGAGAUCUUUUACUUAUGUUUAACUACAACUCUAAACUUGAUGAGGCUUGGAUUCUCGAUACGGCUUGCACUUUUUAUAUGUGUCCCAAUCAAGAUUUAUUUUUAACAUAUGGAGAAGUUUCAAAAGAUGUUGUGAUCAUUAGUAAUAAUACACCUGAUCAAAUAGCUGGUAUUGACCAGGUCAAACUAAAGAUAUUUGACGGGAAUGUUAGAAUACUUGAUGCAGUGAGAUACGUUCCUGAUAUUAAGAGAAAUCUUAUCCCCUUAAAUACUUUUGAAAAUAUGAGAGAGAAAAAUGAAAUGGAAUUUAAUGAUAGCCAAACGGGGGCUAAAUAAAUCCCUUGUUUUGUUAAAGGGAUAUAAAAAAUCUCAUUUAUAUAUUUUGUAGUGUUAUAUAGAAUUUUUUAGCAAUUAGUAUAGUUUAAGAAUUCAGAUGGAUAUGGAGUUGGAUUCUGCACCAUUGGAGUCUAAUUUGGGAUCUUUUUUGAAGAAUACAUCUCAAUUAAAUUUAGAAUUUAUGGGUAAAUCCGUCUUACCACCAUCAUCGGUGGUGUUAAUGUAUUCAGAUGUUAGUAAUAGACCAUUUUGGUUAUAA
rnacentral:lncRNA from 1 species